UUACGGCCACACCCCUUUAAACAUCGGUUCCCGUAAGAUCAUCGAAGGUAAGCAACGUCGAAUCUGGUCAGUACCUAGAUGUGUGAUCGCUUGGGAUACCAGGUGAUGCAAG